GACGUUUGACGUGGUAGUGGUUUCGUUUACUGUUUAUGUCGCUUUUGCUAUAUUUUAUUCAAAAUCUGUUUCUUUGAUUGAUUAGCAACAUUCUAUCUCGGAGCUGCAGUUAUUGCAGUUUAGAAAUUUACUUUUUUUAUUGGUUGAUUCGAUCAUUGUUUUUAAAAUAUAUAAUAACAACCAAACUUAGUAAAAAAUUGAUUCAGAAAUAAGAAAACAAAACAUUUUUUGAUGCGUGAUGUGUGACUGCAGAGUAUUUAUUAACUACCGCAACACAAAAAGUGAAAUUCACGGUUUAAGUUAUAAAGAUUUGCCCGACGAACCAACUUUAAAGCAAAUUCUGCAGGCUGCCAUUGAAUCCUUUAAUAAACACGUUGACUCUCAGUGUUCUGCUUGCUGCAUUGAUAAUGAUUCUACUGAUAAAUAUAUAAGUGAAGAAGAAAUGGCAAAUUUUAAUAUCAUAAAAAAAGAUCGCAAAGAAUCUGCAAACGAAGUUUUUUUAAAACUUAUUCUCCCUGGAAACGAAAAGAAGAUGAAGCAAGUUUAUAACGAGUUUUUUAAACUACUGUAUUUACAAGCAAAUGGAAAAUCGUAUCUUAUAUUUUGAUGAAAUCUCUUAUAAACGCUUCAUUUUUACUUGUCAUAUUUUGCUUGUUGUAACAAAAGUAAAGAAAAAAGAAGAUUCAAGUAAAAAGUAAAAGAAAA